UUGGAAAAGGAGAAGGGUAGGUUGAGGCAGGGAAGCAUGCAGGGUGGUCUAAGGGUUUGGUUGUUGAAGUCCGUAAAUCUAACCCUCAUGCGCCUUCACGAGAAAAUCAUUACACCUUUCACCUCCAAUUUUCCUGGGGUUUUCUUCUUUUUCUAUUUAUUACCUGUUGCAACUCAAACAUAAUCUUUGGCUGCUUUCUGAUUUUUGUGUAUUACCAUCUUUCCAUGCAUUUCCCCUCCCACUAGGAAAAUAGUUGUAACUUGGUAUUGAUAGAAGAGGUCCGAUGCUUAUCAGUACAGCUCCGACGAUCGGCGGAAACAGCAUUGAUAGAAAGCUUCAUUUCUCCAGAUAUGAGUUCGGUUUCCCACAUGUCGCCAUGACUCAAGUUCUGAGAAGAUUCUGCGGCUGCUGCUGCCGGUGCCACCAAAUUAUUAGGUUGCUGCUCUACUGGGUGUUGAUUAACAAGCAAGUUUUCAUUAAUCAAUGAAUCUAGAAACGAGGAGAACAUAUCUUCAUUGCAAUUUUCCAUAUGAUCCCCUUCGUUUCCAUGGCUGCUUGGUUCCCCCAUGAUAAGAGUUGCACUUUCAGUAUAAUGCCGUUUCUCCAUGCUCUUAUCAACCUGUUGGUUUUGAGAUUGCUGCUGAUACCCAUGUUCCAGGUUAGUCGGUGUACCAUCUUUGGUAGUGUUUGUAGUUUUAAUGGUAAUGGUUUUUGAUGCUAAUACAGAAGGAUUAGGGAUAGGGGGGCUAGGGUUUGAUUUUGGAACAGGAUCAUGAUUAAUCUGUGGUGAUUUAUGGGUAAUAAGGUUCAAUGGUUUAUGGGUUCUUGGAUCUAUUCCUUGGCUGAUCAGCUUCUUGCUUAGAUGGGUAUUCCAGUAGUUCUUUAUUUCAUUAUCUGUACGCCCUGGAAUCCUACCAGCUAUCAGUGACCACCUGCAAGAUUCAAAAUGGAACAAGCGAUGAAGGCGAAGAAUGAGAUCUUCUUCAUCGGGAGCAAUACGACCUCGUUUAACAGAGGGUCGGAGAUAAUUCAUCCACCGGAGACGACAACUCUUACCGCAUCGAAGCAAACCAGCUCGUUUAGGCAAAGUCCGCC